ACUGAGGUCUAUCCCGACUGACCCCUCACAGUAGAGUCAUGUCGUUGGAAAUGCCUCAAAGAUCAAUUCUGUAGUAUAGCUUUACCCAUAGUGCUAUUGCCAUUAACUCUGUGGGGGAAAAUGCUGCUGGACAGUG
ensembl:snoRNA Small nucleolar RNA SNORA18